rnacentral:rRNA from 1 species
UAUUGCACAGUGGGCGCAAGCCUGAUGCAGCCAUGCCGCGUGUGUGAAGAAGGCCUUCGGGUUGUAAAGCACUUUCAGUCAGGAGGAAAGGUUAGUAGUUAAUACCUGCUAGCUGUGACGUUACUGACAGAAGAAGCACCGGCUAACUCCGUGCCAGCAGCCGCGGUAAUACGGAGGGUGCGAGCGUUAAUCGGAAUUACUGGGCGUAAAGCGUACGCAGGCGGUUUGUUAAGCGAGAUGUGAAAGCCCCGGGCUCAACCUGGGAACUGCAUUUCGAACUGGCAAACUAGAGUGUGAUAGAGGGUGGUAGAAUUUCAGGUGUAGCGGUGAAAUGCGUAGAGAUCUGAAGGAAUACCGAUGGCGAAGGCAGCCACCUGGGUCAACACUGACGCUCAUUACGAAG